ensembl:lncRNA LINC02609 long intergenic non-protein coding RNA 2609
AGAGGCCUCCCUUCCGAGGAGGCGGUGCUGGGGCGGGCGCAGGACUGCAGGCUGGGGCUCCGCUCCCCGGCGGGAGCCCGCGCGUGGUUCCCAGCGAAGUCCCCGCGCGGCUGGGCCCAGCGCUUCUAAUGUGAGGAAAAACACGGAAUGACAAGUGUGGGAAAGAGCAAGCACUAAAUUACUGUCAGAAAAAUAAACGGAGUAGCACAGUGCUGCUCGGUGAUUUACGGGGGCAAUUAGUCACCACCCCACGGCGCUGCUGAGGACAGCACGGCAGCAGACAAGUCAGGCCCAUGAGGAAGAAGAGGCUUUGCACUGCUCUCCAGACAACUUUUCAAACAACAAGAGAGGAUAUUUGAGCACAUUAGGUUUUGUGUCUUCAUUCUGGGUACCUACUCUUCAUAUUAUUCUACCAACUUAAUACAUAAACAUAUUUUUAGCACAAUAUGAACCUGUUCUAUGUGUGUUUAAAAGCCUCCAGCAGCAACUUUUUUCUCUCCCACUGUCCAAAGUUGGGUUUUCCCCAUCCCUUAAAAAACAAAACAAAAAAACCUUUCUUCACUCCAAAUUGUCCCCCUGGUGUGUGGUUUUGGUCUUUCUCAUUACUUCUUGCAUCUUGCUACAUGUUCUGCAUUUGCUCAGAGCCACUGGGUGCUAAGGAAUUUGGUCUGCUGCUCCUCUGGGAAAGUUUGGUAAGCUGGUACAAGGAGGUGAUGAACAAGGCUAAAUGAAAAUCAUACAUAAACUUCCCAAUAUUUGUGAACAUGUUCUUUAACAUACCAUACAUAGUUUCUAUGUAUAUGUAACAUAGCAAAACAAACUUGCUAAGGUAUAAUUAAUUGGUAUGCAUGCCUUCAUAAAUAUUCACCAUCAGAAGAAACCUAGAAUGAAAGGUUGUGAAAGAACCCAGGAAUGAGAAAGACUUUAUUGACUAAAGGCCAUGUCUAUGUAGGGGCAACAAUGAAGCUGUGGGUGAGCAAAUGAAGCUUCAUCAGGAGUUUAGUAUCCUUAUGUAGCAUUACCUAAGAAUGCUACCAUAGUAAAUUUCUGAAGUACUUUACCUGUUACAAAGAACGUUUGUAAUCUCCUUUUCUUAUUUGAUCUUGCCCUGGCUUUAGUCAGGAACACCUGCUCAGUUAGAAAUGUAUUCGGUGGGUAUGUACGCAGUUGGAGAAUGUGCCCCAACACACGCCGCCUUUGGCCUGUAUGUUGGAGUCCUAGAGAGGCAGACAAUGUUGAUGAGCUUGGUACCAGCAUGGUGCGCCAUUCAUCCGGACACAAUUUCUGAUAAAGAGGGUCACAACUGGGAGAAACCUCAGAUUCUACUUGCUUCUCUUCUCCACGUUAUUAGACUUUUUUUCCCCUCUUGAAUUUUAUAAGCACACUCCUUUUAAAACAAUUAAUUAAUAACGAGCACUGGGAUUUGAUGUAGAAUUGCGUAUUUGUAACUGCAAUGGCACUGGUUUUCAACUACCCUGUAACAAGGAAGCAAUUCUAACCAGCAAAAGAGGCAGACGUGUUUCUGUGCAACAUCACAGGCGUGUGAAAUUGUUCAGAUAUUGAGAUAUCAGGAGUGAUAUAAAUUGGAAAUUUAACCAAAAAUAUUUUCCAUCAGUGAACAAAGCCGAUUUUAAAGUGCCUCUUGCAUUUUUCAGAUCUUUCUCUUUCUUUUUCCCAAAGUCACAUUGUAGUUUCUGAUAAAGGAACACACUGGGAAAACUAAGCACAUAUUUAAUCAAUGAAAUUUAAGGUGUAAAAAUUCUGCAUUUCUGACAAAUUUAAUGUUCACUUUUUUCUUGAUUUAAAUAGAGCAUUCUAAAAAUAUUACCCCUAUAGGGGAUAAAUUUUUAUAUGCAUGUUAUUUUUCUUUACAAAGUGUGGGCUAGUAAAGAGUGAAAAAGACCUUGGCUAUUGUACUUAUUUCUUGAAAGAAAUAAUAGCAUCUUAAUGACUGGAUUCAAAUCUCUGCUUAUCACACAACUUCCGUACAGUUCAAAGAGAGGACUUGGAUUGAAUGAAAACAGAGAGCUGGGGCUUCCUACAUUCCCCUGUGUUUGUGUUCAUACAGAAUAUUUAUGCAAUAUUCUGACUUGGCCAUAAUCUGUAAUUCCUGCCUAUUAUUCUCAGUUGCAACUAUAAAUUCUAGAUUAAUGGUUAUAAUUUUGGUAAGGCAUACAUGAAAAGUUAUAUGUUCCUGCUUGAAAGGAGGAUCAUUAAAUAUUCAUUAUUACCAC